CGUAGGAACCUACCUAGUAGUUGGAUAGCCCAGAGAAUUUGGAUUAAUACCGGAUACGCCCACGGGGAAAGGACAGAGGAGUCUUCGGUACGUUGUCGCUAUUAGUAUGGGCCGUCGCGUGAGAUUAGUCUAGUUGGUGGGGUAAGUGGCCCACCAAGGCGACGAUCUCUAGCUGGUCUGAGAGGAUGAUCAGCCACACUGGAACUGAGACACGGUCCAGACUCCUACGGGAGGCAGCAGUGGGGAAUAUUGCACAAUGGGCGCAAGCCUGAUGCAGCCAUGCCGCGUGUGUGAAGAAGG
rnacentral:rRNA from 1 species